AACUUCACUGAACUAUCUUUCUAGGUGGACAAUGCCUAUUGGCUGUGGACUUUCCAGGGUCGCCUCCUACAGAAGAAUAAUAAAGACCGGUUCUGCCAGUUACUUUGGAGACCCAGGCCACCUACGUUGCUCACCCAGGAUCAAAUAAAGCAAAUCAAGAAAGAUCUGAAGAGAUACUCCAAAAUAUUUGAACAGAAAGAUCGUCUGAGCCAGUCUAAAGCCUCAAAGGAACUGGUAGAUAGAAGGCGAACAAUGAUGGAGGAGUUCAAAAAAUACCGCAAGAUGGCACAAGAGCUGUACAUGGAGCAAAAGAAUGAGCGGUUGGAGCUCCCGCGGAGGAGUGGACACAGAUGAGCUGGACAGCAACGUGGAUGACUGGGAGGAGGAAACUGUUGAAUUUUUUAUCAAUGAAGAAAUUAUUACAGUUGCAGAGCCAGAGUAGUCCGAAAGCCGUGCACCACCAUAUCUCGUACUGAGGAGGGAUUUGUUCAUUUCCAGAAGGUCUACACAACUUUGGACUUUUUAAAAAUCCAUAUUCUCUCUCUGGACGGUGAAUGCGCAGGAUUCGUUCAUUCUGACACAUUGUAGUGCCUUCUAGUCCCCACUGCCUACUGUGGGGUCACUCGAAAGGCACUGCUUUUAAAUUUUUAUCCUUUAUUGGGGAGGGUUUAGUUUAAUUUUGAAAAAAAUCUACCACCAGUAUUUGCUGCUUGACACUCCAGCAGUGCUGCUCUCAGCUGAGCAACUUGGAACUGUGGCUCUUACAACUGCAGCCUUGGCACAACUUUCAGUGUCUUGCCACAAACUCGUGAUGCUUCUGUUUGCCGAAGACUGCUCCUGUGCCCAAACCGCACAGGUGGAAGUUGGUUUCAUGUUGGGGAAGAUCACCGAAAAAACUGUACUUCAUACUAUGUGCUUUAAUUUGCGGAAGCAGCACUACAGUGGGCUCUACCCUCCUCCUUUCAGAUUGUGACAGGAGCUCUCCCAGGUUGAACAUUGGAAAUAAAGCAAACCUAUAUGCUUAAUAAAGAGGGCUGUGUUAUAUGAA